rnacentral:misc_RNA from 1 species
ACCGAAUCCCGUAACCGCCUCCGGGCGUGACGGGUGGCUGGUAUCCUCCUUCUGAGGGGUGUAUGGUGCAGCUUGGGCCGGCCUUUACGGGUCGCGAAUCCCCAGUGCUGCAGCGGACCACCCCUUGGGCAACUCAGUGGGGGCAAUUGGAUGGCUCGCAGGCAUCUUUGGCGGCUUCGGCCCUAGAGGUGGUUCGAGCUGGGUGUUGGGCUUCGGUUCACGUCCCCCGACCUUUUUAACUAGCUCUGAGACCUCUUAGUUGAGGGUUGCCGGGUGGUUUUUCGUCUUUCGGGACGGACGGCCUCCCGGGAAAGAUAGUUACCUGGUUGAUUCUGCCAGUAGUCAUAUGCUUGUCUCAA